rnacentral:rRNA from 1 species
AUGGAGCCGACCUUGAAAUACCACCCUUUAAUGUUUGAUGUUCUAACGUUGACCCGUGAUCCGGGUUGCGGACAGUGUCUGGUGGGUAGUUUGACUGGGGCGGUCUCCUCCUAAAGAGUAACGGAGGAGCACGAAGGUUGGCUAAUCCUGGUCGGACAUCAGGAGGUUAGUGCAAUGGCAUAAGCCAGCUUGACUGCGAGCGUGACGGCGCGAGCAGGUGCGAAAGCAGGUCAUAGUGAUCCGGUGGUUCUGAAUGGAAGGGCCAUCGCUCAACGGAUAAAAGGUACUCCGGGGAUAACAGGCUGAUACCGCCCAAGAGUUCAUAUCGACGGCGGUGUUUGGCACCUCGAUGUCGGCUCAUCACAUCCUGGGGCUGAAGUAGGUCCCAAGGGUAUGGCUGUUCGCCAUUUAAAGUGGUACGCGAGCUGGGUUUAGAACGUCGUGAGACAGUUCGGUCCCUAUCUGCCGUGGGCGCUGGAGAACUGAGGGGGGCUGCUCCUAGUACGAGAGGACCGGAGUGGACGCAUCACUGGUGUUCGGGUUGUCAUGCCAAUGGCACUGCCCGGUAGCUAAAUGCGGAAGAGAUAAGUGC